CAAGAAGAAGCCUGGUGGUGGGAGUGGCUAUGGAGGUGGAAGGUAUGAGGAAGAGGAGGAUCACAGGAAGAAGCCAAGUAGUGCUGGCUAUGGUGGAGGGAGGUAUGAGCAAGAAGAUGAUUACCAGAAGAAGCCUACAAGUGGUGGCUAUGGUGGGGGGAGGUAUGAGCAAGAAGAUGGUUACAAUAAGAAGCCUACAAGUGGUGGCUAUGGUGGGGGGAGAUAUGAGCAAGAAGAUGAAUACAAGAGGCCUCCAAGUGGUGGCAGCGGUGGUGCCUAUGGUGGAGGGAGGUAUGAAGAAGAUGAGUACAAAAAGAAGCCUAGUGCUGGUGGAUAUGGGGGUGGAAGGUAUGAGGAGGAAGAUGAUUAUAGGAAGAAGCCUAGUGCUGGUGGAUAUGGGGGUGGAGGAAGGUAUGAAGAUGAGUACAGCAAGAAGCCAAGUGGUGGUCAUGGUGGAGGGAGGUAUGAGGAAGAUGAUGGGUACAAGAAGCCUAGUGGUGGUGGAUAUGGCUAUGGGGCUUCAAGUGGUGGGGGUCAUGGAGGAAGGUACGAAGAAGAUGACUACAAGAAGAAGCCUAGUGGGCAUUCAGGGGGAAGAUAUGAAGAAGAGGAGGGGUACAAGAAGACUGGUGGCCAUAGUGGAGGGAAGUAUGGCGAGGAAGAUGACAAGAAGAAGAAGAAACAUGGUGAUGAUGAGUCAGAGGGUGGUGGUAUUGGGGAUUACCUGAAGCUGGCACAGGGUUUCAUGAACAAAAAGAAUGGGGAGGGGGAGAGUGGGGGUGGUAUGGGUGACUACUUAAAGCUUGCAGAAGGGUUCAUGAAGAAGCGGUGAUUAAUCUUUUCCCAUGGCAUGGUUCAGGAAGGACUUUCUUGUGUUUGGCUAGUCCCUUUUCCUGCUAAAGUUUACAAGUUGUGAAAUUUUC
rnacentral:lncRNA from 1 species